AAUACGCUUAUUAGCGACAAUUAGAGAAGAAAACAGGGUAGCCAACUGGUCUGAUUGGACGGAGAACAAUACGGCAGGGCGAAGUUUGCGCUUGUUCGGGUCACUGGUGCACAGGCGGACCGUUAGGAGUGGAACAUUGUGCAUAGCCACGGGCAUAAUCCUAACUUCCAAGAAACGAUCGCUCAUUGAUCCUAGGCCUCCGCUAUGGACGACGACAUAGGUCACGUCCACAUAACGGUUACUGACGAAGGACACGUGCCUCGAAACUCCACGGCUCAGGCUAAUCAACUUGACACCAGCAGGAACUGCCAUUGUGAUCGAAACCGCCUGCUGCGCUUUUAUCACGAACAUACUCGUGUAAUAGAGGAAUUUUUGUCGUUUCUUCAGAGGCGUGAAUAGAGCUUUGCGGAUCCUUUUCCAUGGGUAUUGACUUUUUAAUGGAGUUGUGCGACGAGUUUAUAUGUGAAUUUCGAUAGUGAAGUGUUUUUGGAGAUACGAGAUUUUAAUAUGUCUAAGAAUUUAUCUAAGAAUUAACGCCACUACGAUAUUUCGGAAUUUGUGUGGCUCGCUCUCGAUGCUAUCCGAUCGAAUGAAUAAAUUUUAAUGUAUAAUCGUCUGUUAUAACACGACGCAAAAACAGAGAAACUCGUUUUGUUUAUACCGGAGAGUAAUAAACUUGGAGAGUACUCACCUAGAUAGAAGAAUGUUUUCAUCACGCUGUUUUUGUUGACAUUCUUCUGUUCUAGUUCUACGUUUCACUUAAUACGCUCUCGACACGGAACGAAUUAACCAUAUUACAGAAGGAUCGAUUGUAUUUCGAUAAUUUUAAAUUCGAUAAAGGCCGAAAUAGCGCAAUAUUGAAGCAAAAAAUCAUCAAAGAUAUAAUCGAUUAACGAUAAAAAAACGAAAAUAAAAAGAAAGUUACUGCACAAAAUUUAAGCCGCACUGAUCCGUGUAAUUCGAUUAGAAAUCAAUAUUUCUUUAAAAAAGAAAAAAAAAACACGAUCCACGAGCGAUACAAGAUUAUUUUCCUCGAAAUAUAUUUUCACGCGUGAUUAAUAUUUUACUAAGCAGAUACACGUAUCCAAGUUCACGGCAUCCGUAGGAUCUGGUAUUCAAGCAUGCGCGUAAUGCAACGUUGAUUUCUCGGCGAACGAGCGAAAAAGGAAGGCGAUAAACGUCAACCGGCAUGGGAACAUCCUGUCCAAGAUCGCCCAAGGGUCGAUCGCGUUGGAAACCAACGUGAUCCAUGAAGUACGAUCUAUCAAGUUACAGUUAACUCACUGGCGGCCGACGUGUUAUCAAUCGAUAACAGACGAUAACAUGGGCGAACGUAGCUGGGCAAUUAACUAGUCAAGGCUAUUGGCCAAGCCCUUGACGAAUGAAAGGUAUGUCAGAGAUGAUGAUAUUUUACGAUCGAAAACAUCGAUAAUCGUUGCUUGCUUUUGCUUAUGGAUACGGUGAAUGGCGUAAGAUUAUUUUGAUCAUCGUAGAGGAACGGAAUAGUAUUAGAAAUCUGUCAUCAAAUCUCAAAUUAAUAUUGAAAAGUAAAGAUAAAUAUGGAAAUUAAAUUGGGAUAUUCAAUUUCAAUAUAGAAUAACAACAUAAAUUACAAAAUUAGAAUCACGAGACUAGAAAUUUUUCAAGGAUGAAUGUCUAACCUAAAGAAUCAAAAUUCAAAAAAAAAUUUCUCAAUUCUUCAAAUUAAUCGCGUUUUCAUCUCUUAAUCCUAAUCUCAAUUUUAUACGUCAAAAAUGAUAUAAAGUUGAACACAUUAACGCAAUCACUAUCACCGAAUUUAGCAUAACGAUGCAAAAUCGACCGUUUAACCUCACAAAUCUUCGCAAGUCGUCUUCUUCUGCGGACCACUCAAACGCACUUAUCCAGACUAUCCAAGUUUCUCUUGUAUCUGGUUAUGCUAAUUACAUCGUACACAAUCGAGACGUAUUCGCGUGUCACGUUAAACGUUAAAAAAGCCCCGUGUCCCAUAAAUAAUAACUUUAUCUCGUACAAAUGGCGCCCGUUCGAGACGAGCUCUGUGAUUCUCUCUACGCGCCCUCUAUAAUUCUCGACCGCGUGGGAAUUUGAGUUUUCCCUCGAUCCUUCUUUCCCUUCUCUACUGGAAAGAACUAUGUCACGGGAGGAGGCCACGUUUGAACAGCCACAAAUUCAACCGAUCACCGUGGCGGGUACAACAUUCCAUCGAAGCAAAAACGCGUAAAUUACGCGACGAACAGGGCGUCAUUAUUGGAACGAGCAGACCUGGCACACACUGCGCAGGACGGUUUCCCCCCUUGCCUCUAUCCCUCCGCUACACUCUCAUAAGUACAUAAAUUAGCCGUACGGCAGCCCGAGCAAAAAGCUACACGACGGAAGAGGUAACGGGCGACGUCUGAACGCGACACGCGAGUGAAUCGCGGCCUGCACGUGGGAGAGCAGAAGCAAAUAAAGUAACGAAUAAAGAAUAGAGUCUACUACUGUGUGCCAGUUGGACAAGCCGUGCAGCAUCAUUAGCCGCGACGUCCAGCUUCUGAUUUCCUUCGUUCGCCUACCCGUCCCAAGGCGAAACCGAACCGACGAGAUGCGCAGCCGACAUUUUGUAUGUUAACGCGGGAAUACGAUUUGCUCGAAGAAAAAAAAUAAAGAUUAUAAAUUCCAACAAUCCCAUACCCGAUCCACACGCAGAAAAGAAACAUCGGAAGCGCAGGUCGUUGGCUCGGCGAAUACGCAAGGGAUCAACAAACAAAGUAGGGGGAUAAGAAGGGGGUUACCAACGUGGCCAACCACAGAGGGCAACGUGCAGCAUCAUUAGCCAGGACGUCGAGGACUCGCGAUUUCCGUCUGCUCGUUUGUGGGACGAGACGUUCACGAAGGCAGGGAGGGGGGAAGGGCUGGCCGCCCUUAUCUGGCAAGGGGGGGCCUCCGGUUCGUACCCGGUGAAUGGUACCCGGUACUUUGUUCUCGGUUCCUGGUACAACCGGUGCUCCUCUCCUCGACAGAUAUUCGAACAUUCGGGUUCGAUGAACCCUGGUUCGAGGGGGCCUUCCCCCCCCAUCCCUCUUUCUGUGGACAUUGGAGCGGUGGCCAGGGCAGCGCCCAUCUGCGAAACGACCGACACCGCCGUUAUCCAUCUGCCUUCGGGAUUCCGCGAUUCGUUAACAUUCUUGCCGAAUCGCUCCCUCCGACUGGGGGACAGGGGGCCGUCGGAACCGAUGCCGUCGAAGAAGUUGAAGAUCGUUCCGAUUCGAUGAAGUUGGGUGCGCGGUUUUUUGCGAGCUCCUGUUUCUUCCUUUGGAGAAUGCGACGAUUCUUGUCGUGAUUGAUUUUUUUCUUUUUUUUUUUUUUUUCUUUUUGGAAAAUUGAUAGGGUUCUAAUUGGGAAGUUUAUAAGAGAAUGUAAAUAUCAGAGAAAUUGGGUGAAGGGAUAAUUUAGUUAUAAUUUGUGGAGAAUUAUUUUUGGAGGAAUUAUUUAUCUCUUGUUAUAACCUAAAUUUUGCGAAAUUAAAAGAUUUCUUAGAACGAGAGAUUUGAUAUUUGAAGAAUUCAGAUAAUUUAGAUUGAGAAAUUAAAUCAGGAUUAGGAAUAUGGAUUCGAACGAAGUUAUUUUUGAAAAAUUUACAAAUUGUAUCUCAAUUUCUUUGUUAUUCAAAGAUCUAUCGUUUAUUACGUACAACCGAUGAAAAGCUUCAAAUCCUCGAAGUCUUAAUCGAAAACAUUGAAGUUUCUCCCGCUCGUAAGAGAAUAAACAACGAGUUAUUGCUGGAAAGAUUUAUAGAGAGAUGGUAAAUCAACAUGGCUAACGUUAGCACACACCAAGUACCACGUCAAUUCUCUCCCUUUCUCUCUCCCUCUCUCUCUCUCUCUCCCCUUUCUAUAAAUCAUUUCGAUCAAUCUAAAUCAUCUAGAUAAUUUGCCGCAGAUUAAUUUCAACGAGGAUUAUUACUUCGGUCAAUUAUCGAUUCGUACAUAAAUGUCUUUCGCAAAGAUAAAUUUUAAACUCAACAAAUAUUUUAUAAAUAGCUUCAAGAUAAUUAACAUGUAAUAUCACCAAUUUCACCAGUUUCAUUUUGAUAGGAUCACCAUCUCGAUAUUUUAUAGUUUUUCUAUUUUUAAAAAUCGUUUCGAGAAAAAUACACAUACAUACACCAUUGAAAACUCCUUUUAAUGAAACUAUAUCAGAUCAUCGUUUCCUUUAAUAUCGUCAACACCUCUGCACGCGGUUCGAAUAAUAUCGAAGAAGAAAAAAGAAAAACAAAAUAAUUCGAGUAAGGAAUCUUGUGGAGAAUGAAAGCUUUCACCCGGAUAUAUCUCCGCCCGUAAACCACGAAGCGAGGACUGGCCUAUUGGCAGAUCAAAGCGGCACUUAGGGUUAAUCGCGGAACGCUUUUUCGUGGCAACGAUGUUCGCCGAUAACUUCGAUGCCAUUGAAUCGUGCGCACGGAUCCGGCCAUUAACCGGCCAACCGCGGGAGAAAACAUACUUUAGACAUUAACAUUGCGGCCGUUUCGUAGCGAGCGGCGUUCCCUCCUAAUGGCUUAAAGGACAAUGAAAGGUCGAGGUGAAACUUUAUCAAUGGCGUGCCUUUGGAAGCUUCGAACGUAACACAGGUAAGGGGAUUUACCCUUUGGGAUGAAAUCUAGGUUUCGCGAGAGUGAGCUUAAAAUCUUCGCCUCAUUGUAACAUAAUAUAAUUGAAAAUGUAUCCAUACAACAUUAGACAGUCAAUUUAUGGUAUUUGAUGUAUUGUUAAUCUUUCACACGAAUUGAACAAAAAUAUUAUAGUACGAGAUUAUAUUUAUGGAAAAAAGAAAAAGAAUAAUUAUCCAAAUCGCGAUAAAACGGAGAAUCGUGUAUCAAUUAUGUAGAUUCUAUAAAAUAAUUCAAACUGUUUCAACUAUCAUUUAUACGAUAUUUUCGUGAAUUUAUCGUGCAAGAUAUUAGUUGGAUAACGCGUCGAAUAAAAUCGGAUCGUAGAUCGAUUCAGAGGUUGGACAGGGUGCGUGUUCGUCGAGGAUGUUAUUCGAGGGGCGUUCCAUUCUCUCUGGAAAUAGCGUAUCCAUGUUGCGUAAGUUAUCGUCGAGGAGAGAGACUAGCGUGUAUAUUAUUUAUUUCAAGGAAUUUCGCGGAUUUAGUACAUUUCUUUAUUUACAUUGAAAAAUCAAAUAAUUUUUAUACGACGAGGUACCUAUAGAAAUUAAUUCGAUUAAAGCGGAGUAAAAUUGGAGCAAGGAAGUAUGAAAGUAAUCCUAAGUUACGUAGUAAUUAAUCGUCCCGUUUCUACUUGCCAGAUAUCGCGGAGCUAUUGAGCGGUGUAAUAAUUAAUUGGCUUAAUCGAUUAAAAUUUAUCGAAAAUUUUUCCCCCCAAUCGAAUUUCUUCGAGAGAUCGGAUCGAAGAAGAGACGAAAAUCGGUCAAAAUCGCGACGAGACGUCAUUCAUUCGCACAACGCCCAGCUCGUAAAUCUAAUAACGCUCGCGGGGGAAAAAUCGGCGUUGGUUAGAAUUUUGUAUGGGCGUGUCACGGCCGUAAACCUUUAAAAUACGAUGUUCCCCCGGUGGACACGUUAAUUGCUACGUAGAAUCGGGCGGAUGAAAGCCGGCCCGGUUUGAUAAAUUGCGUUGUUAAGCCAUUCGUGUACAGGCGUUAUCCACGCGAUACCGUGUCUAUGAUCAAGCGUGUGUUGCUCACCUGGUCUCUGAUCUUUCGGCUCUGAUAAAUCGGCCGCCGAAGGACUCUCCCUCUCUCUCUCUCUCUCUCUCUAUCCAGAAGGAAGAGGUCCAUCCGCGACCUCGAGAAGUCGCCUCCUCGCCCUCCUCGCCAUAUACCCCUGCGCGCUCUCCGCUUACCUUCUUAACAGAGGUGGUGUUCGCGCACGCUGCGAUCGCCUACUCUGCCUUCUUCCCUCCUCUCCCCACUCCUCCGUCCGCCCAUCCCCUCCACGACCGCCAUACUCUUCCGCGAGGGAGGGGAAGGGAGGGGGGGCGAAUCGUGCGCUCGGCCCGAUCGAGGAUUCCUUGGGGAUACCGAGGGCUCCGUGGCCGAGAGCAUUGGCGGGUAUGGCGGGCAGAUAGGCAUGCGUUGAAUGCAUAACAUUUUUAUCUGAUCGGAAGGAAACGUGCACACACGCCGGCGAAAUGCGAACGACCGGGCGAACGACAGCCGAACGAAACCUGGAAGUGAAAAUUCAACGAAGGGGUAAGGGGAUGUUUGUGAAGGAGGUGGUGGUGAUCGUUGUGCGAAAUUGUCAAAGAUAAUUUGCGGCGAGUGUUGGAUAAAAGAUUUGGUCUUCGAAUAUUUUCAAGAUGGUUUGAUAUUAUUGGAUAAUUUUGGAGCAAAUUUUUGGAAGAGUAAUUAUUAUUAUAUUGAUAAGAGAAAAAUGGAGAUAAAUCUUUGAGAGUGAUACUCUUAAUUCUAAUGCGUUUAAUGUAAUAUAUGGGAUAAUAAUAAGGGAUAGACAUAUAGACGUGUUCAAUAAACUAUAAUAAUUGGGUUUCUACUCGACAAA